rnacentral:rRNA from 1 species
GUCCACGCCCUAAACGAUGAAUACUCGCUGUUGGCGAUACACAGUCAGCGGCUAAGCGAAAGCGUUAAGUAUUCCACCUGGGGAGUACGCCCGCAAGGGUGAAACUCAAAGGAAUUGACGGGGGCCCGCACAAGCGGAGGAGCAUGUGGUUUAAUUCGAUGAUACGCGAGGAACCUUACCCGGGCUUGAAAGUUAGUGAAUGUACCAGAGAUGGUACAGUGAGCAAUCACACGAAACUAGGUGCUGCAUGGCUGUCGU